GCAGAGUGUCACGCGCCUGUCCGUUGCGACUGGCGAAAAAGUGGAGGAAACCGUUUACAUAUUUGUCGAGUCAAACUUGGGACGAAAUUGCAAAGCGGGAAGUAUCUAGGUCCUAGCCUACUGUAGAGUUACGCGCAUUCAUUAUAAAAACCAAGACUUGAGUUAUACGUUUCUUAUAUAAUUUGACAACCUCAAAAAUAUGUUUAAAACAAAAACGUCGGCCACCGGCACCGCUCCAGACAGAUUUUUGAGGAAAAGAAAAUGAGCAAAUCGCCACGAUCUCCAUCUAAUCUAGAAUCUUAAAACAAAGGUGUCUGACAGAAAUACAUAUGUGAAAAACGGAACUGGUUCUGAACGGUCAUUAAAAAUAACAGCUUCAACGCAAAUCAGGUGCUUGUUUACUUUCGCCUUCGCACGGGCCCCAGCGGACUCUUCGCACCCAUCCCGCUGCCAAGUGCUGUAGGCGCAGAGAGUAGAAAGACUCCAUUCGGAAGCAUUAAAGAGACAAUCGAUAUGGCAGUGUGAAAGGGUGUUCAAAUUUGUGAUCUGGUGCUGUUUUGCUAAGAUUCAACCAGUCUGUCCUCCCUGCCAGACUCUGCCCUCCAUCUUUCUGGUGGCUGCAGCCUUCGGUGGAAUGAGAAACGAGAAACAGGACUCCCCUUGCUGCAGAGCCUUGGCUGUCUGGAUCAUCCUGCGGGCUGUCACCGUCGGCAUGUCAGCCAGUCACACAGCUACGAAUAGAGCCGCGUGCUUCUUGCUCACUAACAAUCAGUGGCACCAUAUUUAGCAAGGUGUAGCGUGCCCACCAUUCCCAGGUAUCGCAGCGUACUGUACCGCAUUCAAGCAGCUGCAGCCCAGGCACUAAGUGAAUCGGUUUGCCAAAGGUCUGGAAACCCAAGUGGUUUGUGGACAUCGGGGUCGGCAGUCUGAACGAUGCUGCAUAUACCGGUUGGCAGUGACUCGAAAGCGUCUGUCUGCUUUCGGUCGUAAACAUCUGUCUGCUUUUUAUUCCUUCUUUUUUUUUUAAAUUCUAAAAUAAAAAAUUUGGAAUCUCGUGUAUUUUAAUUAAA
rnacentral:lncRNA from 1 species